CUGGGGAUAGCUUAGUGGUAGAGCAUUUGCCUGGCACACAUAAGUUCCUGGGUUCCAUCCCCAGCACCGAAA
rnacentral:tRNA from 1 species